rnacentral:rRNA from 1 species
AUUGAACGCUGGCGGAAUGCUUUACACAUGCAAGUCGAACGGCAGCACGGGUGCUUGCACCUGGUGGCGAGUGGCGAACGGGUGAGUAAUAUAUCGGAACGUAUCCAAUAAUGGGGGAUAACUAGCCGAAAGGUUAGCUAAUACCGCAUACGCCCUGCGGGGGAAAGCUGGGGAUCGUAAGACCUAGCGUUGAUGGAGCGGCCGAUAUCUGAUUAGCUAGUUGGUGGGGUAAGAGCCUACCAAGGCGACGAUCAGUAGCUGGUCUGAGAGGACGACCAGCCACACUGGAACUGAGACACGGUCCAGACUCCUACGGGAGGCAGCAGUGGGGAAUUUUGGACAAUGGGGGCAACCCUGAUCCAGCCAUUCCGCGUGAGUGAAGAAGGCCUUCGGGUUGUAAAGCUCUUUCGCAAGGGAAGAAAACUCGAUCUCUAAUAUAGGUUGAGGCUGACGGUACCUUGAUAAGAAGCACCGGCUAACUACGUGCCAGCAGCCGCCGCCG